rnacentral:rRNA from 1 species
UACGGAGGGUGCAAGCGUUAUCCGGAUUCACUGGGUUUAAAGGGAGCGCAGGCGGGCUGGUAAGUCAGUGGUGAAAGCCUUGAGCUUAACUCGAGAACUGCCAUUGAUACUAUCAGUCUUGAAUAUUGUUGAGGUUUGCGGAAUGGGUCAUGUAGCGGUGAAAUGCAUAGAUAUGACCCGGAACACCUAUUGCGAAGGCAGCUCGCUGGGACGUAACUGACGCUGAGACGCGAAAGCGUGGGGAGCAAACAGG